UAACCUCUUCUCCCUAGAAAAAAUCUAACCUCGCCAUACGGCGUACCCGAGCUCACCCAAUUCUUCCGAUCCGUCAUCUCCCCUCCCCCUCGAUUCCCAUCUCACCCGAGCUCCAUGACCACGAUGCUGACCGCCACCACUUAUUUCUGCUAACUCAGGCGCUCUCCCACGGCGUCGCUCACCAGCCAGGCUGCUCCUUAGUCCUCUCCUCUGAUUCUCCACCGCCGCGACUCCCUCCUCACCGCUGCACAUGACCCAGCAGCAACCCUAGCCGCCACGGGCCGCCCGUGCGAAUCCCGUGUAGGCCCUCUACCCCACGUCUAUGUAUGCGCCGGUGCCAACUCGGGCCCGACGAUGCUGCUCCGCCUUGGCUACCUCGCCUCCGACACCGACGAUUUAGUAAGGCACUUGUCUCGUCUGCUGGUACCCCUCUGAUUCUUUGUGGUGGCAUAGCAUCAUUCCAUGGUCGAUUCUCUGCCGGAAAUUGCAAAUGUGAUCUACGCUACUUAGUGUUAGCCAUCGUGGUGUCGUACAUCACGGCUAGAUAACACCCCAUCACGGUCAGUUACCUUACUGGAUGCUCCCAAAUUCACUUAACCAUUCUAGGUAUUUUAGUUUCGUCCUUGCAUCUUUCAGGGUGCACUGCUAUAUAGUUCUGCACAUGCAAGCCAGUUGUUUCUAGUUUGGUUGAUCUAUUUGGAUAUAUGGUUGAGUCCAUAUGUGUUAAUUCUGAAAGAGUGCUUGCGUCCUUUUUUUAAUGUCAAUAGUUCGUUCUUGUUGCUAUGUCUGUGGAUGAAUCCUUACCGAUUUCAUUGUCACAUGUUGUGUAAUACUAUAAGAAUAAGUCUCACAUGCGUCCAUCUAUCCUAAUAUUCCACUUUAUUGUAUAUAUAAUCCUUAAUUUCAUCUUCCCUUACAAUUUCUGAAACUGACCUUGCUUCAGUCAACAUGUGUCUGUUUCUUGGGUUGCAUUCUCAUCCUUGUAGUAGUUCGAUCUGUUGUGUCGAUGAACAUCCACGUGAGGCUGCAGGAUGGAUAAUGGUGUCGUGGCAGCACUACACAAUUAACUAACGACGGCGAGCAACAUCACAGCUCUUCUCAUUGUGUGCACAUGUUGUGGAGCCGCCGGCCUGCUCAAGCCGCCCUCAAUCAGUGCCAACCCUGUGUGAGAAAACUGUAUGGUACUGAUUUCUUAGGUUGUAAGGUUAUGUCUUCCCCUAGGAUUUAAGGUGGUGAACUAUGAUAUACUAUGACUGUAACAUGGUUUGUUGUUUCUUGACUUAUUUCAAUAAUAACUUCAGUGCUUGAGUCAUAACCCUGUAAGGUUUCACCUUGCUCCAAUUACUCAAUCAGAACUCGUGGUUCUACAUGUUGUUGGCUCUCAACUUCCUUCAAUCAGCAUCCGAUCCUUCACAAGAUCAUGAAGUAUUUAUGUCUCACUGGUUCUUCACCGGCCAUAGGAGUUGAUAUAAACAUCAAUAUGCUCAUGAUUACAAAGAGAUUGCCCAAUCUGGAAAACAAAAGGUGGAUGCCAAGGUGAACAGUCGUGUGAUGCCUGCAGCGGGGAUGUUGAAAAGUUUGUGUAAUAAGAAUUCAAGGGAGCAAAAAUAAUGAGAAAGGAGCACUCGGGAAAAUUUGCCUUGCUACUAUUGCCAAGAUAAUAUGGAUGAUGCGUGGAUCAGAUGUUGAUCGCAAGGAUGAUAAUGGGCUACUCUAGAUAAUUAGAAUGUCAUUUUCAGGACAAUUUUGAAACAUUAUAGUUGGUUGCAAGGUUGAGAGUUUGGCUACUGCUAGAUAGUUUCACAUCAUGUAAUAUCUGGAUCGUGUUCUUUGUAAUGCAACAUUGUUGAUUUAAUAUAUGUGACCUUCCUGUUUA